rnacentral:rRNA from 1 species
GGGGGGACAGGGUGACAGGUGGUGCAUGGUUGUCGUCAGCUCGUGUCGUGAGAUGUUGGGUUAAGUCCCGCAACGAGCGCAACCCUCGACCUUAGUUGCCAGCAUUCAGUUGGGCACUCUAAGGUGACUGCCGGCUAAAAGUCGGAGGAAGGUGGGGAUGACGUCAAAUCAUCAUGCCCCUUAUGACCUGGGCUACACACGUGCUACAAUGGGCGGUACAAAGGGUCGCGAACCCGCGAGGGGGAGCCAAUCCCAAAAAGCCGCUCUCAGUUCGGAUUGCAGGCUGCAACUCGCCUGCAUGAAGCCGGAAUCGCUAGUAAUCGCGGAUCAGCAUGCCGCGGUCGAAUACGUUCCGGGCCUU